GGAAGCGUGGCCGAGCGGUUGAAGGCACCGGUCUUGAAAACCGGCGGCCCGAAAGGGUUCUAGAGAAGUUCGAAUCUCUACGCUUCCGCCA
rnacentral:tRNA from 1 species